UUUCCCACUCAUUUUGCUAGGACCUUUCCCUUAGCUGAAAAAAAAAAAAAAACCAACCCUAGAUCUAAAAACACAAUUGCCGCCUCUCACUCUCAGUCAAUCUCUCCCUCGCACGCUCUCACACUCUCAUGAACCUCAAUCCCUCAAUCCACCCUCAAUCCCUUUCACCCUCUCCAGUUCACACACACUCCCAUCCUCCUGCGAUUCCGGCAAAGCAAGUUUGGAUAGAAGCUUGAGGACUGAACCCCAACUCCAAAAUCAAGACCAGAGAAGCUUCGACUUUCAGGGUUGAUUUUAAAUAGGACCUACAGAAGAGACAUUUCAAAUCAUGAGAUCACAAUUUGGAUGGUCCUCACAUGUUGUCCUCAGAGCCUUCAAACUUAGGGGCAGGGCAUGUUGCUGGUGUACAGACGAUUAUGAGUGCUAGGGUUCCUAUAAUCAAGCUUGUAGACUGUGGAACCGGAAUUGAGUGUGAUUUAUCAAUUGAGAACAGGGAUGGCAUUGUAAAAUCCCAGAUAGUCUACAUAAUAUCUAGAAUUGACGGAAGGUUUCGGAAACUGAG